rnacentral:rRNA from 1 species
UACGUAGGGGGCAAGCGUUGUCCGGAUUCAUUGGGCGUAAAGAGCUCGUGAGGCGGUUCGGCAAGUCGGGUGUGAAAACUCCAGGCUCAACCUGGAGACGCCACCCGAUACUGCUGUGACUUGAGUCCGGUAGGGGACCACGGAAUUCCUGGUGUAGCGGUGAAAUGCGCAGAUAUCAGGAGGAACACCGAUGGCGAAGGCAGGUCUGCUGGGCAUUAACUGACGCUGAGGAGCGGAAAGCAUGGGGAGCGAACAGG